UGUGUGUGAGUGCGUGUGGGGGAGUUGUGGCAGUGAGAGAGAAAGCACGGUACAGACUCCAAGGUUGGGUAGUUUAUGCUAUUUGCUCUUCUUUCUGCAGGUAAAUGCUAACAUGUGGGGAGAAAGGUUUUUGGUGCUGAAGACAUUAAGACCUGGUGGCUGCCCACAGUAGGUGAAUGCAGUCCGGAGGUGUGGUGGAGCCCAGGUUUUUCUAGGGCUUGUAGGGCUUUGUUUGGUGAGUACAUGGCUAAUGGAGGUUAUUUAAGAUUAAAUUGAAGUCUUAACAAAAUGGACCUUCCAGGCUGCACCAGUUCCUGUGACGCUUUGUUUUCCUUGUUUUGGUUUGUAUGAUGAUUUUAACUAGCAUGGUUUUAGAGUAAACGUAAAAUAAAUGAUAUUUACUAUAUGUAAAACAAAGCAAUUGAAUGGAAAUUAGAAACUGGAAUGUGUUUGAAAUGGAAGAUGAUGCCUUAAAAUAAAUGUAAGAAACAUU